rnacentral:rRNA from 1 species
AUUGAACGCUGGCGGCAUGCCUUACACAUGCAAGUCGAACGGCAGCACGGGAGCAAUCCUGGUGGCGAGUGGCGAACGGGUGAGUAAAGUAUCGGAACGUGCCCAGUCGUGGGGGAUAACGUAGCGAAAGUUACGCUAAUACCGCAUACGAUCUAUGGAUGAAAGCGGGGGAUCGCAAGACCUCGCGCGAUUGGAGCGGCCGAUAUCAGAUUAGGUAGUUGGUGGGGUAAAGGCUCACCAAGCCGACGAUCUGUAGCUGGUCUGAGAGGACGACCAGCCACCCUGGGACUGAGACACGGCCCAGACUCCUACGGGAGGCAGCAGUGGGGAAUUUUGGACAAUGGGCGAAAGCCUGAUCCAGCCAUGCCGCGUGCAGGAUGAAGGCCUUCGGGUUGUAAACUGCUUUUGUACGGAACGAAAAGGUUUGGCCUAAUACCUUGAGUAGAUGACGGUACCCGCAUAAGAAGCACCGGCUAACUACGUGCCAGCCGCCGCCGUAACAC